UUAAGCGACUAAGCGUACACGGUGGAUGCCCUGGCAGUCAGAGGCGAUGAAGGACGUGCUAAUCUGCGAAAAGCGUCGGUAAGGUGAUAUGAACCGUUAUAGCCGGCGAUGUCCGAAUGGGGAAACCCAGUGCAAUUCGUUGCACUAUCGUUAACUGAAUACAUAGGUUAACGAGGCGAACCGGGGGAACUGAAACAUCUAAGUACCCCGAGGAAAAGAAAUCAACCGAGAUUCCCCCAGUAGCGGCGAGCGAACGGGGAGCAGCCCAGAGUCUGAAUCAGCUUGUGUGUUAGUGGAACGGUCUGGAAAGUCCGACGGUACAGGGUGAUAGUCCCGUACACCAAAAUGCACAGGCUGUGAACUCGAAGAGUAGGGCGGGACACGUGGUAUCCUGUCUGAAUAUGGGGGGACCAUCCUCCAAGGCUAAAUACUCCUGACUGACCGAUAGUGAACCAGUACCGUGAGGGAAAGGCGAAAAGAACCCCGGCGAGGGGAGUGAAAAAGAACCUGAAACCGUGUACGUACAAGCAGUGGGAGCACCUUCGGGUGUGACUGCGUACCUUUUGUAUAAUGGGUCAGCGACUUAUAUUCUGUAGCAAGGUUAACCGUAUAGGGGAGCCGCAGGGAAACCGAGUCUUAACUGGGCGUUAAGUUGCAGGGUAUAGACCCGAAACCCGGUGAUCUAGCCAUGGGCAGGUUGAAGGUUGGGUAACACUAACUGGAGGACCGAACCGACUAAUGUUGAAAAAUUAGCGGAUGACUUGUGGCUGGGGGUGAAAGGCCAAUCAAACCGGGAGAUAGCUGGUUCUCCCCGAAAGCUAUUUAGGUAGCGCCUCGUGAACUCAUCUUCGGGGGUAGAGCACUGUUUCGGCUAGGGGGUCAUCCCGACUUACCAACCCGAUGCAAACUACGAAUACCGAAGAAUGUUAUCACGGGAGACACACGGCGGGUGCUAACGUCCGUCGUGAAGAGGGAAACAACCCAGACCGCCAGCUAAGGUCCCAAAGUCAUGGUUAAGUGGGAAACGAUGUGGGAAGGCACAGACAGCCAGGAUGUUGGCUUAGAAGCAGCCAUCAUUUAAAGAAAGCGUAAUAGCUCACUGGUCGAGUCGGCCUGCGCGGAAGAUGUAACGGGGCUAAACCAUGCACCGAAGCUGCGGCAGCGACACUAUGUGUUGUUGGGUAGGGGAGCGUUCUGUAAGCCUGCGAAGGUGACCUGUGAGGGUUGCUGGAGGUAUCAGAAGUGCGAAUGCUGACAUAAGUAACGAUAAAGCGGGUGAAAAGCCCGCUCGCCGGAAGACCAAGGGUUCCUGUCCAACGUUAAUCGGGGCAGGGUGAGUCGACCCCUAAGGCGAGGCCGAAAGGCGUAGUCGAUGGGAAACAGGUUAAUAUUCCUGUACUUGGUGUUACUGCGAAGGGGGGACGGAGAAGGCUAUGUUAGCCGGGCGACGGUUGUCCCGGUUUAAGCAUGUAGGCUGAUUAUCCAGGCAAAUCCGGAUAAUCAAGGCUGAGGUGUGAUGACGAGGCACUACGGUGCUGAAGUAACAAAUGCCCUGCUUCCAGGAAAAGCCUCUAAGCAUCAGGUAACAUCAAAUCGUACCCCAAACCGACACAGGUGGUCAGGUAGAGAAUACCAAGGCGCUUGAGAGAACUCGGGUGAAGGAACUAGGCAAAAUGGUGCCGUAACUUCGGGAGAAGGCACGCUGGUGUGUAGGUGAAGUCCCUGCGGAUGGAGCUGAGACCAGUCGAAGAUACCAGCUGGCUGCAACUGUUUAUUAAAAACACAGCACUGUGCAAACACGAAAGUGGACGUAUACGGUGUGACGCCUGCCCGGUGCCGGAAGGUUAAUUGAUGGGGUUAUCCGUAAGGAGAAGCUCUUGAUCGAAGCCCCGGUAAACGGCGGCCGUAACUAUAACGGUCCUAAGGUAGCGAAAUUCCUUGUCGGGUAAGUUCCGACCUGCACGAAUGGCGUAAUGAUGGCCAGGCUGUCUCCACCCGAGACUCAGUGAAAUUGAACUCGCUGUGAAGAUGCAGUGUACCCGCGGCAAGACGGAAAGACCCCGUGAACCUUUACUAUAGCUUGACACUGAACAUUGAGCCUUGAUGUGUAGGAUAGGUGGGAGGCUUUGAAGCGUGGACGCCAGUCUGCGUGGAGCCAACCUUGAAAUACCACCCUUUAAUGUUUGAUGUUCUAACGUUGGCCCCUGACCGGGGUUGCGGACAGUGUCUGGUGGGUAGUUUGACUGGGGCGGUCUCCUCCCAAAGCGUAACGGAGGAGCACGAAGGUUAGCUAAUCCUGGUCGGACAUCAGGAGGUUAGUGCAAUGGCAUAAGCUAGCUUGACUGCGAGCGUGACGGCGCGAGCAGGUGCGAAAGCAGGUCAUAGUGAUCCGGUGGUUCUGAAUGGAAGGGCCAUCGCUCAACGGAUAAAAGGUACUCCGGGGAUAACAGGCUGAUACCGCCCAAGAGUUCAUAUCGACGGCGGUGUUUGGCACCUCGAUGUCGGCUCAUCACAUCCUGGGGCUGAAGUAGGUCCCAAGGGUAUGGCUGUUCGCCAUUUAAAGUGGUACGCGAGCUGGGUUUAGAACGUCGUGAGACAGUUCGGUCCCUAUCUGCCGUGGGCGCUGGAGAAUUGAGGGGGGCUGCUCCUAGUACGAGAGGACCGGAGUGGACGCAUCACUGGUGUUCGGGUUGUCAUGCCAAUGGCACUGCCCGGUAGCUAAAUGCGGAAGAGAUAAGUGCUGAAAGCAUCUAAGCACGAAACUUGCCCCGAGAUGAGUUCUCCCUGAGACUUUAAGUCUCCUGAAGGAACGUUGAAGACGACGACGUUGAUAGGCCGGGUGUGUAAGCGCAGCGAUGCGUUGAGCUAACCGGUACUAAUGAACCGUGAGGCUUAACCUU
rnacentral:rRNA from 1 species